AAUCAUCAUAGUUUUAAAAUUACAAACUUUUCACCAUUUUCACCAUGUGUAGUCCGGUAUUAGAUUUGCCACGUUAUAAGGAACCGCCACAAUAUAUACCUUGCAUUCCCGUUAAGGGCCCUCCUUGUCUACCAUGCGGCAUAGAUCCAGUUACAUUGCGACGUCCACUGAUUGUAAACGACAGCACCUUCGACUAUAGACCCACCAGUUGGCCAGGCAUGGUACUUAAUAAUCAAGACAAAAAAGUGCGGUACCAACUCAUUAAUUACGAUCGGCCGGUUAAGCCGCAUUAUCCUGCAUGUUCGCCGGCAUAUGUAUAAACACAAGUACAGGGCGGGUGUGGCGGUUGCCACGGCGGCUGUUGCCGACCUUGCGCAGCGCCCUGCUGUGGAUCGACUGGCUCCCUCGUGACAGUUUACAGUCAAGUAGCACAUAUUCAGUGAACCGCGGAUCAAGUUAUUCUACUUUAGAUACUCUACAUAUGCAGUGCUAGCAGUGGGACAGCCACCGCGGCCUGUGGCAGCCUUCGACAAGGCCGUCAUUGAAGUGGGCCAUCACUGAGC